GUAACAAGGUUUCCGUAGGUGAACCUGCGGAAGGAUCAUUACCGAGUGAGGGCCCUUUGGGUCCAACCUCCCACCCGUGUUUAUUUUACCUUGUUGCUUCGGCGGGCCCGCCUUUACUGGCCGCCGGGGGGCUCACGCCCCCGGGCCCGCGCCCGCCGAAGACACCCUCGAACUCUGUCUGAAGAUUGAAGUCUGAGUGAAAAUAUAAAUUAUUUAAAACUUUCAACAACGGAUCUCUUGGUUCCGGCAUCGAUGAAGAACGCAGCGAAAUGCGAUACGUAAUGUGAAUUGCAAAUUCAGUGAAUCAUCGAGUCUUUGAACGCACAUUGCGCCCCCUGGUAUUCCGGGGGGCAUGCCUGUCCGAGCGUCAUUGCUGCCCUCAAGCCCGGCUUGUGUGUUGGGCCCCGUCCUCCGAUCCCGGGGGACGGGCCCGAAAGGCAGCGGCGGCACCGCGUCCGGUCCUCGAGCGUAUGGGGCUUUGUCACCCGCUCUGUAGGCCCGGCCGGCGCUUGCCGAUCAACCCAAAUUUUUAUCCAGGUUGACCUCGGAUCAGGUAGGGAUACCCGCUGAACUUAAGCAUAUC
rnacentral:misc_RNA from 1 species